CAGCCGCCGCGGUAAUACGUAGGGUGCGAGCGUUAAUCGGAUUUACUGGGCGUAAAGCGUGCGCAGGCGGCCCGUUAAGACAGGUGUGAAAUCCCUGGGCUCAACCUAGGAAUUGCGCUUGUGACUGGCGGGCUCGAGUACGGUAGAGGGGGGUGGAAUUCCUGGUGUAGCAGUGAAAUGCGUAGAGAUCAGGAGGAACACCGAUGGCGAAGGCAGCCCCCUGGGCCUGUACUGACGCUCAUGCACGAAAGCGUGGGGAGCAAACAGGAUUAGAUGCCCUGGUAGUCCACGCCCUAAACGAUGGGUACUAGCCGUUUGGUGCGCGAUAGCGCUGGGUGGCGAAGCUAACGCGUGAAGUACCCCGCCUGGGGAGUACGGCCGCAAGGUUGAAACUUAAAGGAAUUGGCGGG
rnacentral:rRNA from 1 species